rnacentral:misc_RNA from 1 species
GUGAAUCAUCGAAUUUUUGAACGCAAAUUGCACUCUCUUCGGAGAGUAUGCCUGUUUGAGGGUCAGCCUAAAAAAAUCGACAUAGUCGCUGUUUCGCGGUGACAUUCGUCGGAAAUUGGGGCAUCUUAAACCUUUGGGUUUUAAGCGGCUUAAAAUUUUCUUUGCGAUUUUACGAACGGUUCUAAGAUUUACUUUCCCGUUUAAGGUAUUGAUUUUUAUUUGACGUUGCCGUUGCCUCGGAUC